rnacentral:rRNA from 1 species
AUGACUGAGGCCCUCAGUGAUAAAUAUCUGGAUCUGCCAGCAAAUGUGGGGAUAGAUAAAACAGAUUGUUUCCAAUUUCUAACUGAGCGUGUUGUCAAGAGAAUCAGUGGCUGGAAGGAAAAAUUACUGUCUACCGGGGGAAAGGAGAUCCUACUCAAGGCUGUGAUCCAAGCCAUACCCACCUAUGCAAUGUCGGUCUUUAAAAUUCCUAAAAAAUGUAAAGGAAACAUCGACGCGAUAGCGCAUUUCUGGUGGGGAGACGAGGAGAAUCAGAAGAGGAUGCAUUGGAUGUCCUGGUGGAAAUUGUGUGUCCCUAAAAAUCAAGGAGGAAUGAGAUUUCAUGACAUCCACUGUUUUAACUUGGCUUUACUUUCCAAACAGGCAUGGUGACUGUUGGAUAAUCAUGAUUCCUUGUGUGCUUCUAUCCUACGGGUAAAGUUAAGCCAAGUUAAAGAAAGGCUCUUCUUUUACAUGGCAAAGUAUUAUGGCCGACACUAA